UACAGAGGUCUCAACCGUUGUUCGGAUUCAUUGGGCGUAAAGCGUGCGCAGGCGGUGAGCUGUGUCCGAUGUGAAAGCCCCGGGCUUAACCUGGGAAUGGCAUUGGAAACUGGCUCGCUGGAGUGUGGCAGAGGGGGGUGGAAUUCCGCGUGUAGCAGUGAAAUGCGUAGAGAUGCGGAGGAACACCGAUGGCGAAGGCAGCCCCCUGGGCUAACACUGACGCUCAGGCACGAAAGCGUGGGGAGCAAACAGG
rnacentral:rRNA from 1 species